rnacentral:rRNA from 1 species
GUCUACUAGCUGUGUGUGCCUUUAAGGCGUGCGUAGCGAAGCUAACGCGCUAAGUAGACCGCCUGGGGAGUACGGCCGCAAGGUUAAAACUCAAAUGAAUUGACGGGGGCCCGCACAAGCGGUGGAGCAUGUGGUUUAAUUCGAUGCAACGCGAAGAACCUUACCAGGUCUUGACAUCCUGCGAAUUUUCUAGAGAUAGAUUAGUGCCUUCGGGAACGCAGUGACAGGUGCUGCAUGGCUGUCGUCAGCUCGUGUCGUGAGAUGUUGGGUUAAGUCCCGUAACGAGCGCAACCCUUGUCCUUAGUUGCCAGCACAUAAUGGUGGGAACUCUAAGGAGACUGCCGGUGACAAACCGGAGGAAGGUGGGGACGACGUCAAGUCAUCAUGGCCCUUACGACCUGGGCUACACACGUGCUACAAUGGAACGCACAGAGGGCUGCAAAGGCGCGAGCUGGAGCGAAUCCCACAAAACGUUUCGUAGUCCGGAUUGGAGUCUGCAACUCGACUCCAUGAAGUCGGAAUCGCUAGUAAUCGUGAAUCAGAAUGUCACGGUGAAUACGUUCCCGGGCCUUGUACACACCGCCCGUCACACCAUGGGAGUGGGUUGCAAAAGAAGUGGCUAGUCUAACCUUCGGGAGGACGGUCACCACUUUGUGAUUCAUGACUGGGGUGAAGUCGUAACAAGGUAGCCCUAGGGGAACCUGGGGCUG